UACGUAGGGGGCAAGCGUUGUCCGGAUUUAUUGGGCGUAAAGAGCGUGUAGGCGGCCUGACAGGUCUGCUGUGAAAACUCGAGGCUCAACCUCGAGAUGUCGGCGGAAACCGUCUGGCUAGAGUCCGGAAGAGGAGAGUGGAAUUCCGUGGUGUAGCGGUGAAAUGCGCAGAUAUCAGGAAGAACACCUAUGGCGAAGGCAGCUCUCUGGGACGGUACUGACGCUGAGACGCGAAAGCGUGGGGAGCGAACAGG
rnacentral:rRNA from 1 species